rnacentral:lncRNA from 1 species
AGGCAGCAGGCCGUUUUGUCCUGGGGUCGCUGACCCUGGCUCCCCCAUCAGCUGCCCUGAAACCUUAAUUGAAUGACAGAUGGUCAUUUUCGGGGGCGCCAGAAGCUGCGGGCGGCCAGCGGCGCGGGGGCUGCGGCCCCAGGCCCCGGCAGUCCCGCCCGGGCUCUGCCAGCAAGGGGCGGGCGGCAGAGGUAGCAGGCGCCAUGCGAAGCUGGCCCGGCCUGCGGGCGCGACGGGGUCUGCGGACGUCGGGCGAACGCGCGGCAAGAACACCUGGAGGAAACCCCGGCCUAAGAGGCCGCGCGGGCGAUAGAUCACUGGGUCCUAGCGUCCCUGCCAAUUCCCAGACCGAGGACCAGACGCAGACUAGGCCAGAGCUAGGCCACCCAGGAGCCUGGCCCGGCCUCCGGCCCUGGAAGGCGGCAGAAAGGGGACAAAACCUCUGUCUUUCUAGGCCGAAGGCAUGAGUUCCAGCAUCCUGGGUCCCCACGCGUCGUGGUCUGGGGCCAAGACCGCCCACAGUCGGCGCCCAAGCCCAAGACGCCCAUUCUGGACCUGGGCCUCCCGCCAGGACCCGCGCGCAGGUCGGGAAAAGGCCAGAUUCCGCGUGCUGCCUACCCUACGCGCCCAGCAGCGGCUUCUCGUCAGCGCCAUGCCCGGCCGGAACUCACGUGGGCCUCCACAUCCCGGCGGGCCGCCAGAAAUCCGCGGGCCCGGAUGCUGCCCGUCUGACCCUCCUGCCCCAGGCCCCGGCUGCAGAGAAAGUCUUCGGGCAGGAGACCAUCCUGUCCCUGUCUUUAAAAUGAGCACAAUAAAAGGGGGCAAAUCCUCGAACGCGAACCUGAUCUCAUGUCACAGAAGCAACUUGCCAUGAAAUCCGCUAAUGCGCCGCGACUCGCCCACCAGGAUAAAUAACCCCAUCGUCCGUGUAAUCAGCCCGUUCCCAAUGAAGUCGUGUUCCUCGAAUGCACUCUCUGCCUGCCACACUUGAGGAAUCCAGCCCACAGAGGUUUCGGAAACCCAGUUUGAGUGAUUCCAGCCUAGACUGAAACCCUACAAACCUCCCAGGAAAGAGAGCCCGGCCCGGGCCAAGCAGUCGGACACACACCCACACACACACACACACACACACACACACACACACACGGAUGGCGUAGCUCUUCGCAGGAUGGAAGGCUGGAUGUGGAUCUGGGAGGCUGUGGCUAAGUGAACCAGGAAGACUGUGAGGGAAACCAAUACAGCAGUGUCGUCUUGAAAGUUAUUUGGAAGAACAGGACCUGGAGUCUGGGUUUGAAUCAAAAAAUUAUGAGCAAGGAACAGAUUACCCAGUAUUUCUUUGGAGCGAGACAGAAAUGAGACCUGCCCAGCUGAACCAGCUUGGUUUGGAUUAGGAAAUUAUUCUCAGACACAGUAGCACACACAUCCUCUGACAGCGAGCUCACUCCUGGGCAGUGGGCUUCUGGCUCUGCCACUGCUCUCCACAACCGCCCUACAGGCCUCCUCCAGGUUUUGCUAGGCAAAUGAAACGAGCAGAACUCGAUAGUAAAUUAUUUUGUUCAGCCUUCUCUCUUUUUAUGAAAAUAAAAGGCAACACUUUGUCAUUUUUAAUCACAUAAGCAGACAAUAAAUCUGAUUUUGAUAUUGAUUAUUUUCCAGAAUCCAGUGAUUUUUUGUAGUGGCUGUUGUGUUUCCUUUCUGAAGAACGGCUGUUUUCUUGUAGACAGUGUGGCAAUGGGGCUGCGUCUAUGCAGGCUGGUGCUUAUCUGAAACACGUUGUGGACUUUGAAGCCCGAUAGCUGACAAGGGAUUCUUCCUGAGUGGCAGGAAGUUUGGAUUUUGUCUGAGACAGUGAUUUGAAUGGGCCGCCCCGGUGCCCUAGACUAGAUGUAAGGCUUUGACGGUGCUUUUAGGGGUUACAGCAUUGGAGAUUGACAGGUUUAAGUUUUUCUCAAAAUAAAAUCAAAUAAAUAAAAAUAAAAACAACCCCCAAAUCUUGCUGAUGUCAGGGGCGCAGAUGGCACCACGGGAAUAUUACUUAGCAAAAGGAAUGCAUCCUCCACGGAUGUCAGAAAUGUACCAGGCUCAGGAAAGGGGCAGGACCCUGCACGGGGUAAGGACUGAAGCCUAGCUGAGAAACAUUAGGAAAGGCCAGUUACUGCGAAAAGGUCCCAGGAGCUUAGGUACCGCCUCUGCAUCCUGAGGCUUACCUGGCGCUUUCCUUUCUUUCUCCUUUUUUUCAGAAACAGGAUUAGUUUGUUGUGUCAAAUGGACUGGCAUGUUUUAUAUGAAAGUCUGGAGGUGUAGAGACCUGCAUGAGGCUCCCCUGUAGAGAAGGAGGGAGGGGAUGAGAGAAGAAAGCUAGGGAGAAGGAAAGA